rnacentral:rRNA from 1 species
GAUGAACGCUGGCGGCGGGCCUAAUACAUGCAAGUCGAGCGAACAGAUGAGGAGCUUGCUCCUCUGACGUUAGAGGCGGACGGGUGAGUAACACGUGGAUAACCUAUCUAUAAGACUGGGAUAACUUCGGGAAACCGGAGCUAAUACCGGAUAAUAUAUUGAACCGCAUGGUUCAAUAGUGAAAGACGGUUUUGCUGUCACUUAUAGAUGGAUCCGCGCCGCAUUAGCUAGUUGGUAAGGUAACGGCUUACCAAGGCAACGAUGCGUAGCCGACCUGAGAGGGUGAUCGGCCACACUGGAACUGAGACACGGUCCAGACUCCUACGGGAGGCAGCAGUAGGGAAUCUUCCGCAAUGGGCGAAAGCCUGACGGAGCAACGCCGCGUGAGUGAUGAAGGUCUUCGGAUCGUAAAACUCUGUUAUUAGGGAAGAACAAAUGUGUAAGUAACUAUGCACGUCUUGACGGUACCUAAUCAGAAAGCCACGGCUAACUACGUG